AGGAGAUUACAUACCCAAACCUGGAGAAGCAUUACUCCUGUGACCUUACAUUUUGCGAGUGGAUUCCUGACAAAGGAUUAAAAAUUCCUAAACAUUUGGAAGAAUUAAAUGGACAGAAACCACUGGUUUGCCAGAUGACAUCUCUACAGACUGCAUCUUUUGAUGCCUGAGACCAUGUAUCACGAACAGCCUCUGUAAAUCUGAAAAUAUUAUUUAACCAAACCAAAUAUCCAGAUGAUCCUGGAAGCAGAUACAUCUGUCUUGUAUGUCCUUCCAAGAUGGCAAGCAUUGAACAAACAAGGAGAAGAAGGACAAUGUUUCCCUCCUAUUCGGCUCAUUUCCCCAUCUGCUGGACAGUCUGAGAAUCCUUAAUCAACAUUCAUUUUCUGAUACCUGCUUUAUUUUAUGCACAGCCAAGAGGGAAAUGGAAUCUCUCCCUGCUCUCAACAAGAAUAAAGCACAUAACCAGUCUUGGACACACAUACAAAGAAUUUUUAGAGGACAAUGCUUCUGCCUCUAGCAUGUCUUCAGAAUGCAGGAGGAAAGCAGAAACCCACAUGGAUCAGGGAAGAGAUGAGAGUUUUGCACAAACAGCAUUUCAGCUGGGAAAUUAACUAGAAAACCAAGUGCUAGGAGGAAACGAUGCUAACUACUGUGUUACUAGACUGUCAUGCUUUCAACAGUUUUUUGUUUUCUUGAAAAUCCCGCUAGUAAUGAAAACAAGCAUUAUAUAUGUUUAAUUGUUACUUAUAUAGACAUUACAUUUGUGUAUAUUUUUUCCACACAUUCCUGAAUUCAGCUUUUGUCUGUACUGCUUUUUCGUUUACAGUUUCAGUUAUCCACCACCUUCUCUAAGAUGUAAUGACUCCUUGUGUCUUCCCUGAGUCAUGCACUAAGUAUCCGCAAAUUGUUAUAUUGCUCACAUGCAUUUAUUAUUUUGAAAGAAGCUACUCACUUAUAAUUAUUGAUAAUCUUAAUGUGCAUUAAAGGUUUUAUCAUUCAACAUCA